ensembl:lncRNA
AUGUGUUUUUUAAGAGUAAAUGUGAGCCAUUGUUACCAAAAAAAUACGUCAUGUGAGCAGUCAUCCCAACAUGUGACUAAUCACAAUGGCGAUCAAAGCUCAAAUUACAGGUUUACCUUUGGCGACGUGAGUGAACACACAGAGUCUCAUCGUGAUUCCAAAUAUGUCCGUCCAACAAGCGCAUGGGACAACACACAGUAUUCACAAUGCUGCAGGGAUCACAAACAAACACCAACAGACUCAAUGUGGACAAAUCAUCCAUCUAGACCAAGACCACCGUCAAAUAUCACAUCUCAAGGGGAGAGGAAGAACUUUGACAAAAGCAUCAGAAGUGGUCAGUUUGCAGACCUUAGAAAUAAUACUUUAGAGGAAUUAACCCACUGCCUGGAUUCCUGUAAAAUUGCUGCUCAAAGUCCUGCAGAUAAAAAGCAAAUGGAAUUUCACGCUAACAUUACUAAUAAUGAAGAAUCUCAAUGGCUAUUUUCUUUAGAAGCAGGAGAAACAGCACAACUGGCACCUUGUUUCCAGCGAUUAUCAGAAUCAGCCAGCUCUGAGCCAAUGCUCAUGAGACCCUUCUUGUCUAGGUCCAACUUAAGAGAUUUCAUCAACUGUCAAAAGGAAAAAUCCUGGAUUAGAAACAACGGUAUUGUCACUGAGGAGCACAGAGCUCGUUUGUCUCCAAACACGAGACACCAAACAUAUCCUGGGAUGUCAGAGGGUCCAGGAUCGAUGCAGGAAGAUCCUCUGUCCCGCUGUACUAAAUCCUUUCCCUCUCUAGUCACGCGCUCACAGUUUCUGCAAACUGAAAGGCUGGGAAGGAUCCCCCUGGACACAGACGAGUUCUCUGCAUUCGGAAUAGAAAAUUAUAAUUUUCCACAAACAAAGGCACAAUCCAGACGUGCCUCAGAAGUCCUAAACAGUGGCGAUGGAAAGCAAUUCAUCCUUAGUCCAUUCUGUAUGACCAGCUCUGAAGAUACACCUGAGUUCAUGGUGAAUGACCGGUGUCGAAGGCCAAUCAGUUACCCCCCUCAAGAGCUCAGACAACAGGAUGCAGGCAUAGAACAGAGCUUACCAAUGGAUGUGGGAAGUCAGGACUAUAUUGACCAAAGUGAGGUGACAGACAGUGAUUUUGGUAAAGAUAUGGAGGAAGUUGAAUUUCACAGCCCAGAGCUCCUCACAGAGAAGUUGAGUCAAAGAGCCCUUACCAUAGAAGUCACCCCUCCAUCCUGCAGAGGAUCUGUGGAACAAAUAUUAAAGAGGCAUCCUGCAACAUCACUCCUCAAGGACGAGGUUGAAAGUGAAAGUCAAAAGGAUCUAGUCUCAGUUUCCCCCAAACAUAGUAAGUCCUCAGUCACAGUACAUGUUAAUGCACUCAAGCAAACAUCCCUGCCAAUGCACUCAAGAUCAUCACCGGGUAGUUUCAUGGAAACACCAGGUACAACUGACCUGGGAGUCCAUUGCAUGUUCCCUUUGCAGGAGGGGAAAUUCUUUUCGAUAACCACAAUGGCGGUUGCAGAGAUUGAAUCCAAACCAUUUGGUGAAAAAAACAGGAAAUAUCAGCCCUUCUUUACCACUAAUGACUGA